GACGAACGCUGGCGGCGUGCUUAACACAUGCAAGUCGAACGGAAAGGCCCUGCUUUUGGGGGGUGCUCGAGUGGCGAACGGGUGUGUAACACGUGAGUAACCUGCCCUUGACUUUGGGAUAACUUCAGGAAACUGGGGCUAAUACCGGAUAGGAGCCCCCGCUGCAUGGUGGGGGGUGGAAAGUGUCGGCGGGUGGGGAGGGACUCGCGGCUUAGCAGGUUGUUGGUGGGGUAGUGGUUUACCAAGGUUUUGACGAGUAGCCGGUCUGAGAGGGUGACCGGCAACGUGGGGGCUAGGAUGCGGAGAAGACUCCUGCGGGAGGCAGCAGUGGAGAAUGUUGCACGGGGGGCGGAAGGCUGAAGCAGCAACGCGGCGUGGGGGAUGGCGGCCGUGGGGUUGUAAGCCGCCUUCGCCUGUGACGAAGUGUGAGUGACGGUAAGGGGUAAAGAAGCACCGGCUAACUACG
rnacentral:rRNA from 1 species